rnacentral:rRNA from 1 species
UACGUAGGGGGCUAGCGUUGUCCGGAUUUAUUGGGCGUAAAGAGCGUGUAGGCGGCCAUGUAGGUCCGGUGUGAAAACUCGAGGCUUAACCUCGAGAUGUCAUCGGAAACCAUUUGGCUAGAGUCCGGAAGAGGAGAGUGGAAUUCCUGGUGUAGCGGUGGAAUGCGCAGAUAUCAGGAGGAACAUCCGUGGCGAAGGCGGCUCUCUGGGACGGUACUGACGCUGAGACGCGAAAAGCGUGGGGGAGCGAACAGG